rnacentral:lncRNA from 1 species
UAAAAAGUGAAUCGUUUGAGAGCUCCAAAUUUGGAAGUUGAGAACUAAUAAACAAUGAGAAAAACAAGGGAGCCUUAACGUAAUUAGUAAAGUUAUUGUUAUGUGAUCAGGAACGAGUUCAAGCCCUGAAAAUAACAUUUAACAGAAAUAUAAGGUAAGACUGCGUAUGAUAGAUCCUUUUGGUCCGAUUUUUUCCCAAACUUCGCGCAUAGCCGUUUUGUUGGUUUGGGUGGAAAUCGAAGGACUUUUUUCAUUGUCUGUCGGGUCCAAAAGGAGAGUUGUUUAUUUUCCUUAUUUUCUCUCCUAAUUUUCUACUCAGACCAAAGAAAGGGAGGCUUUAAAGCUGUCUACUGAUCUAUCACUUUCUCUAAUUUCCACCAAGGAAAUAAGAAAAGACACACGUAGGGAUUGGAGGAAUAGAAGAAAAGAUACUUGGCUCUGAACAAAAUAUCUAUCUUUUUCCUUUUUUGCUUUUUCCUUUCUUAGACCAAGCAAGCAGACAGAUAUUUUUGUACGUUCCCU